AGGGUUCGAUCAUGGCUCAGAACGUACGCUGGCGGCACGCCUUAUACAUGCAAGUCGAACGAAGUAGUAAUACUUAGUGGCAGACGGGUGAGUAACAUGUAGGUAUCUUCCCUUUGGUGAGGAAUAACACGAGGAAACUUGUGCUAAUACCUCAUAAGUCUUUACAGAGAAAGCUUUAUGCGCCAGAGGAUGAGCCUGCACUCGAUUAGUUUGUUGGUGGGGUAAAAGCCUACCAAGACUGUGAUCAAUAGCUGAUCUGAGAGGAUGAUCAGCCACAUUGGGACUGAGACACGGCCCAAACUCCUACGGGAGGCAGCAGUAGGGAAUAUUGCACAAUGGAGGAAACUCUGAUGCAGCGAUGCCGCGUGAGUGAAGAAGGCCCUUGGGUUGUAAAGCUCUUUCGUCGGGGAAGAAAAUGACUGUACCCGAAUAAGAAGGUCCGGCUAACUUCGUGCCAGCAGCCGCGGUAAUAC
rnacentral:rRNA from 1 species